UCCUAACACAAGACCCCUGCAAUGUUCCUCUACCUCCCUUCAUAAGGAAACGGCCACAGAACUCACUGGAGGCGUGGCGCUUGACUUUGACCUGCGGGUCGGCACGAUGGGACUUCUCACUGCAGGAGGAGGCGUGGCGCUUCACCUGAGCCCCGAUCAUUUCAUUUUGUUCUCAAAAUACUCCUUGGAAGGAUGGAGCCAGAAAGUGGCAAGCAGGGUCUGAGAAGAAAGGCUGAAGUCUCCCUGGCUCCAGCCAUUGCAGCAACCAGCUUCUCUGUAACCAAGCAAAACCUUCCAGUUGCAUCCAAGAACGACCUUAGGAACAAAAGGGCAGGCUGGGAAUGUUUCUAGAAAAGGGGGAUCGUGGAGGGGAGAAUGCGGAGUAUCAUCUAGUCCAGGGCCCUGGCUCAUGGCGUGCUGCGUUCUCCCUCUAGAAGCCGCCCACCCACUCGUGUCUGGUUGCACUGCGCCCGUCUUCUAGUUCCUCCCCAGGAGAAGGCACAGGGCAUGCUGUUGAGAGCAGGCAGGCUUAGUGAAGGCAGUUUCUCUGAAGCAAAGGAUAAAGUGGGCCAUGAAGGGAAAAGAGGAAACAGAAAGAUGGCCUUUGCUACGUUACUAAGCUGUGGACUGUACCUGCACCUUUUCAUAAGGAACCUCAUCGUAGAUGCGGGGCUCAGGCCACUGAUCCUGGUAGGACUGUGCAUACCUAGAAUACGAAAAGUUCAAUGAUCUUGGUGACAG